CCCCUAGAUGUUCUGGGCCGCACGCGCGCUACACUGAACAGUUCAACAAGUCUUAACCUUGGCCGAUAGGUCUGGGUAAUCUUUGAACGCUGUUCGUGAUUGGGAUAGACCUUUGCAAUUAUGGGUCUUCAACGAGGAAUUCCUAGUAAACGCAAGUCAUCAGCUUGCAUUGAUUACGUCCCUGCCCUUUGUACACACCGCCCGACGCACCUACCGAUUGAAUGGUCCGGUGAAAUCUCGGGACGGCGGCUUGGUCGCUCGCGUCCGACUGCUGAAACUUGAUUAAACCAUAUCAUUUAGAGGAAGGUGAAGUCGUAACA
rnacentral:rRNA from 1 species